GUGCGGGGCUGCUGGUAGUGUAUUAAGAUGGUGUAUUGUAAACAAAUUCCCCAGGUAAAGCCUAAGUACUAGAGUUUGAGAAUUACCGUACAAUGUUUCUCAACUGCACUAUUUACUUUGGUGGAAAAUGUGAAACAACUCGCUGCCUCUCACUGGGAGCCGAUUGCUUACAGUCACUCUGGGACCUCCGCACAGCAGUAUGUGUACUGGGGUACCAGGUGGAAUGCAUUGUAGCUUGCUUUUUAUUCACUUGGAUGCAGCCCUGAUGUCCUCAUUUACGCCAUUGUAUGUAUGGAAGGCGGUUGCCUUUACUGGCAAAUCUGGUAAAUCUUGUUAUUUAUGUCACUAUUUUCCUUAGCUUUUAUGGUUGUUGUCCUUUCCAGAGCUUAUGAAUUCCUACUAGAAUCCUCUGAAAUAUAUUUAUGUAACAAAGGUGUUUUCUAUAAAAGGACUUUAAGAU